CUGACUUCAUGCCCAAGGUACCAAGGACAGCCUCAGCUUCCAGUCUCUGAGGAAAUGUUUGUUUUUGUCUUCGUGAGUUAUGCAUUUUAUGGGGCAAAAUGUCCUUGCUGAAUUUCUUUCCCUUUCUUUCUUCCAUUCCUCUAGUCUGUUUUAAAAGCCGACUGCACCAUCUCUCUCUAGUUUCUGCAGUUUUUAAGUUUGAUUGAGUUUUUAAGAUGAUGUGUAGUUGCCACUCAUCUAGAUAGGAAGUAGUCAAUGGAGGGAAUACUGUAAAAUCUCGACUGUCCAGUUAGACGAGGUGUUUGUUGCCUCUGAAUGUUCUCCAC
rnacentral:lncRNA from 1 species